GAACCUUACCCGGGCUCGAACGGCAGAGGAACAAUCCAGAGAUGGUGCGGCCCUUCGGGGCUUCUGUCGAGGUGCUGCAUGGUUGUCGUCAGCUCGUGCCGUGAGGUGUCGGCUCAAGUGCCAUAACGAGCGCAACCCUUGCCGUCAGUUACCAGCACGUCAUGGUGGGGACUCUGGCGGGACUGCCACCGCAAGGUGAGAGGAAGGGGGGGAUGACGUCAAAUCAGCACGGCCCUUACGUCCGGGGCGACACACGUGUUACAAUGGGCGCUACAGAGGGAAUCUACUUGGUGACAAGAUGGUAAUCUCGAAAAGCGCUCUCAGUCCGGAUCGGAGUCUGCAACUCGACUCCGUGAAGCUGGAUUCGCUAGUAAUCGCGCAUCAGCCAUGGCGCGGUGAAUACGUUCCCGGGCCUUGUACACACCGCCCGUCAAGCCAUGAAAGUCUGGGGCGCCUGAAGUCCGUGACCGAAAGGAGCGGCCAAGGGCGAAACAGGUAAUUGGGGCUAAGUCGUAACAAGGUAAC
rnacentral:rRNA from 1 species